CCUACGGGGGGCUGCAGUGGGGAAUUUUGCGCAAUGGGCGAAAGUCUGACGCAGCAACGCCGCGUGGGUGAUGAAGGUCUUCGGACUGUAAAACCCUGUCGUCAGGGACGAAGGUGGGGGCGUUAAUAGCGCUUUCAUUUGACGGUACCUGGAGAGGAAGCCCCGGCUAACUCUGUGCCAGCAGCCGCGGUAAUACAGAGGGGGCAAGCGUUAUUCGGAAUUAUUGGGCGUAAAGGGCGCGUAGGCGGUUUUUUAAGUCAGAUGUGUAAUCCCCGAGCUUAACUUGGGAACUGCAUCUGAGACUGGAAGGCUAGAGUACUGGAGAGGGUGGUGGAAUUCCUCGUGUAGCGGUGAAAUGCGUAGAGAUGAGGAGGAACACCAGUGGCGAAGGCGGCCACCUGGACAGUAACUGACGCUGAGGCGCGAAAGCGUGGGUAGCAAACAGGAUUAGAUACCCGAGUAGUC
rnacentral:rRNA from 1 species